rnacentral:lncRNA from 1 species
UGGCUGAUCCUGGUGCCGAGGUGUUAGGUCUUGUCACUCAGGGGCUGGACCCUGUGAUGGAGGGUGAUCCAGAGUACAGAACUUCCAUGGUGGAUGGUUGGGAUAUUUGAUCACAUGGAGGCGGUGGAUCGAUUGAGGCAGGGCAUCCAAGGGGUGGAGGAGAGUCCAUCCGUUUCAGACUCGAUGGCCACAGCGAUGGAGAUUGACAUCCAAAUGGAGGGAGGGACUGGUAUGGACCCCCUUCACCGC